ACAGGUGGCUGGUCAUGGAGAGCCCGCUGGGGGAAGAGCACACAGACAGGCACCGGCAGGCCAUUGACCAGCGGGACAAGGCUUUGGUAUCAGGAUGAUGCUGGCCUCAUAAAAUGAGUGAGGGAGGAUUCCCUCUUUUUCUAUUGAUUGGAAUAGUUUCAGAAGGAAUGGUACCAGCUCCUCCUUGUACCUCUGGUAGAAUUCGGCUGUGAAUCCAUCUGGUCCUGGACUUUUUUUGGUUGGUGGGCUCAAUGUCAUCACAAGGGUGCUUAAGAGGGAAAGAGGAAGCCAUGAGGGUCAGAGUCAAAGGAAGACUUGAAGAUACUACACUGCGGACUUUAAAGAUGAAGGAAGGGGCGAAAACCAAGAAUGUGGGAAGCCUCUAGAAGCUAGAGAAGGCAAGGAAACAAAUUUUCCACUAGAGCCUCCAGAAGGAACACAGCCCUGCUGACCCACUGUAAUGUCUGACCUCUAGAUGUGUAAGGGUAGUAAGACUGAAAGUCUCAGAAAGGCACUGUUAAAUUCUUAUUCCUCAACUAUGCAACUCAAAACUGGGGUCCUCAGCAGUGAGCGAGGGGUGAGAGAAGACACUGUAUAAACAUGGCACAUCCUCCUGGAAAGUCAACUUUACUCAAAGGUUCUUACACACAGUGACAGCUAGCAGAGUCUAAAAUGCUGACAUUAUGACUUAGAGAUGUGAUAAAGAGAAACAUCUAUUGCAUUUUCUGUACCAAAAGCUCUUACUUCACCGGGGAGAUUUUUCACACGGGAGGAAAAGGACAAGUGGACUAUCACCUAGGUGGUCAGCUUACAACCUGAAUUUCUUGGAAAUGACCUAAUUUAAUUAUCUUCAUGGAUCUCCUUUGCUCUUUGAAUGAAGAGUAGUCAGCUAUUUUCUUUCUUUUUUUUUUUUUGAAUGGGGCUCUUGAGUGUCAGUUGCCAUUUUAAUGAAGUAGUGAUUUGGGCCCUUUCCUGAUAAUACAAGAGUUAGGUGUCAUGCUAGUUGGCUUGGCCCCUCUUAUUCCUCCAGUAUCCCUGAUAGGUCAGAUCAGAGUGAUUCUGGAGGGAAAGUAUGUUUCACUGUGGAUAUGUACAAUGGCAAUUCCCAGUUCUGGGAUUUAACUUAAUUCAAUUAUUCACAUGAUGAGUAGCAUCCACACACUCCUGGUAAAAUUUGAUAAAAUGCUGUAGCAUCAAGAUGCUUUUGUAGAGGCCUCUCUGCCAUUACCUGUUUUCUUGACUGGCAUUAAUCUCUACCAAAGCUAGAGACUUGAGCAUCAUCCUGAAUUCAGAGUCAUAAUCUGAUAGCUACAGGUCAAAGUUGGCCCAACGAUGUGUUGUUGGGAGUACCUUGAGCUUUGAAAAAAUAAAUAAAAGUAAUUAUCAACCCUGGAAAACUUAGAAAUUUUACAUAACACUCCUGGUCUCUGGAUUUUCUUGGAAAACUUCAAUAUCUGGCAACUCUGGCCCUGUAUUUCCUUCUGGCAACAAUCAGCUGGUACUGUGUCGAGGUAGUGACAUUUAGAUGAGCCAUGUGCUCUCCAGCUUGCCAUAGUCCUCACCAAUCCCUGUUGUUUACUUCCAGCCUACUUAGUAUUCAUAUUAUCUGCAGGCAACUACAGGCAAUUAAGCCUGUAGUUUCUGGCCUAAAGCAUUCAUGACAACAUGUGCACAAGACACCACAUACAUAAUAUAUGAUAGAAAUCUUCCUUACUUUCUAAAAAUGUAAUCACAAUCAUGGCUGAAAUUGAGUACCUUCUGUGUACCAACUUUUGUACUAGGUGCUUUAUACGUUAUUUUUUUUUGAUCCCCAACAUACCCCAUGGUGUGAACUAGCCUAUCAUAUAAUCAGAGACUAAAAUUUAGAGAUGGUAAAUUUAAAAAACGUGUCCAGUACUGUACAGUUAAUAGACUUCAGAGGCAGAAGUGAAACUGAUGUGAUUCCAAAGGUGCUGUUAUUCAAAGUUUAUUUAAUCUUUUUUCUUAUUUUCAAAAAGUAAAUAUGUAUUUAAAUGUAGACCAGAAACCAUACCUUGUUACAUUUUCCUUUGAGAAACUCCAGGCUUUCUUUAAAUGCUAAUGUAGAUACUGAACACUACAAAAUCUUGAAUGGUUUUUCUCCUGUAAAGGUCAUUGCAAAGUUAACCUAAGUAAAAUUCCAUAUCUUG
ensembl:lncRNA SAMMSON survival associated mitochondrial melanoma specific oncogenic non-coding RNA